rnacentral:rRNA from 1 species
UACGUAGGGGGGCAAGCGUUGUCCGGAUUCAUUGGGCGUAAAGGGUGCGUAGGCGGUCGCGCAAGUCGGAUGUGAAAUCUCAGGGCUCAACCCUGAAACUGCAUUCGAUACUGCGUGGCUAGAGUGCUGGAGGGGAGACUGGAAUUUACGGUGUAGCAGUGAAAUGCGUAGAUAUCAGGAGGAACACCGGUGGCGAAGGCGGGUCUCUGGGCCGAUACUGACGCUGAGGAGCGAAAGCGUGGGGAGCGAACAGG